UAUAACAUUAAACGACUCUCGGCAACGGAUAUCUCGGCUCUCGCAUCGAUGAAGAACGUAGCGAAAUGCGAUACUUGGUGUGAAUUGCAGAAUCCCGUGAACCAUCGAGUCUUUGAACGCAAGUUGCGCCCGAAGCCUUUAGGUCGAGGGCACGCCUGCUUGGGCGUCACGC
rnacentral:rRNA from 1 species